rnacentral:misc_RNA from 1 species
UCUCCGUUGGUGAACCAGCGGAGGGAUCAUUACCGAGUUUACAACUCCCAAACCCAAUGUGAACGUUACCAAACUGUUGCCUCGGCGGGAUCUCUGCCCCGGGUGCGUCGCAGCCCCGGACCAAGGCGCCCGCCGGAGGACCAACCAAAACUCUUGUUGUAUACCCCCUCGCGGGUUUUUUUAUAAUCUGAGCCUUCUCGGCGCCUCUCGUAGGCGUUUCGAAAAUGAAUCAAAACUUUCAACAACGGAUCUCUUGGUUCUG